rnacentral:rRNA from 1 species
UACAGAGGGGGCAAGCGUUGUUCGGAAUUAUUGGGCGUAAAGAGCGCGUAGGCGGCCUGGCAAGUCGAUGGUGAAAUCCCUCGGCUUAACCGAGGAACUGCCCUCCAAACUGCUUGGCUUGAGUCCGGGAGAGGUGAGUGGAAUUCCCAGUGUAGCGGUGAAAUGCGUAGAUAUUGGGAGGAACACCAGUGGCGAAGGCGGCUCACUGGGACGGAACUGACGCUGAGGCGCGAAAGCGUGGGGAGCAAACGGG